rnacentral:lncRNA from 1 species
CCGGGGGCUGGCUAUCGAACGGCGGGCCGCAAGGCGAAAGCCGCGGUGCGGGUGCGGCGACGGCGAGAGCCCGAACACGCGCCUCACACCGCAGCGGCGGCCGAGUCCAGCCACACAAUGGUGCGCGCGCGCCAGGGCUACGCUAUAAGGGCGGGCGGGCGGGGGGCGGGGCCGGCGCGUGACGUCAGCGCGCAGCACGUACCCUCCCGCGCUGGAGCCCUGGGCUUGGGGGUGACUUGCGAUCCCACCGCCCGCGAGUUUCGGGGAAGCGCGGUUCUGCUCGCUCACACGGUUCUCAACACCCAUCUUAGUAAACGCAGCGCCCCGCCGCGGAGCCACGGACUUGUCUCCUAAUUUGCACUUUCUAAAAAAGUUCUUCCGGUGAUCCUCCCGGGACAGGCGCCCGGGAGGCAGGCUAUGGGGGGGGGUCUCGCUUUUCAUUGGUUCCUGAGGUUGUCGUAAUAGGCCUCCGUGGCCUCUGAUUGGCUCCUGAGAGCGGGGCAGCUCCUCCCCCCUCCCCCCGGUGGGUUCACGCUCCGCUGGGCUGGGAGCGCGCGCUCCGGUACCGUUGGUUGGCUGCUUUCACCGGAUCGCCGGCUCCAGCUCCGCGGUCGCGGUGGCCCGGCCCGGAUGGUGUUGCGAGCGCGCAGCCCCACUGGCCUCCAUCCCUGGUGGCUUCACUCAGAGUCGUUAUCAGCCUCGACCGCCCCGCGGCACAGCCCCCCCUGCCUCCGUGGGUCUCUCUGGGAGCGCUGGCCGCUGGGGUCACCUGUAGAUUCCUGUGUACGUGGUCAUUCCACGCUCGCCGUGCGUGCUCGCAGAGAGCCUCUGGCCCCAGAAGGUCGAGCAAGACCUGACAGCCCUCCAGCAGACGUGCGCUCUUUUUUCUCCCUGGGAUGGAGAGUCCGGUGUGUCCCAGCGCCAUCUCUUCCCCCAACAGGUUUCUGCAAACGAAGCGCUCCUUGACUGGGAAGAUGGGGCUCUGUUGCCAUCUGGUGGCCACUGGCUUGACUACAGUGAUGGACAAAUUCCACUUGAUGCCUCAUCCAGGUCUCAAUGAAGCUCAGAGAGAGGUCUUUGAAGGUCCCGGAAUCUAAAUCUUCUGAUUGUCAAGACCUUAUUCACCCAGAGGUUUUCUGGCCCUUACUUGAAUGUCUCCUGUGGUGGAGAGUUCACUGCCUAACCAGACACCCAAGUCCAUUCUCAGACAUCUCUCAUUUUGAGUAAAUUCUUUAUAGAGAAUAAAAUAUUGCUCCCUUGAAUUGUCUAGUCACUGGUCCUGGUUGUGUCCCUGAGGCUGUUCAAAUGACCACCACACCUAGGUCUUCCAGAUGUUCAAGUCCUCUCUUCUGGCUGAAUGCCUGCAGUCCUCCAAACAUCUCUCCUGGGAACUGCUUUCAAGUCUGUUUGUCACCCUGGCUGUUGCUGACCAGCCUGUGGUCAGACUCAUUUGUGGCUUUCUUCAGCUGGGCCUUCAGAGCUAACCUUGCCCCCCUGGUCUUGCCUGAACUUGCCUGCUAUUCUCCACACCAGUUAAGAGCUGUUGGCAUAGAUGGGGUGGCUGGUGUGUAAUUCCUCACUCAGCCCUACCUCUCUUGCUGCAUGGAACCAAAUUGGGAUUCUGGAAUAGCCCAUUUGUGGCAAAUAAUGUUUGCCUUGAGAAUGGAAACAGAUGAGGUAGCAGAAUGGAAACCCAGUGCUUAUAGGCAGAUAGGCUCAGUUCCUGGGGCAGCUGGGAGACAGAAGUGUUGAGGAGGAAAGUCCUAGUUGGCCACAGGUCAGGUGAAGAGCAUGAGGCCAUGGGGAAACUCUGAAGACAAAUACUGCAGAAACCAUGGCAUACUUUAGGUAUACUGUGGUCUCGAUGCUUGUCAGAGUCCAGUGGGAGGCAAUGCUGGGCUCUCCUCCCAGAUCUCCCCCCCCUGAGCUGGUGCCUGUGGGUUUCUGUUCUUUUGCCUGACACUGGGCUGUGGCUUGCAGACAUUUUCCCAUCAUUAGUUCUACAUGCUGUUAUUUGGACAAGUUUAGGCUGAAACAUAUUCCUGAAUGCUUUGCACACUCAUGCUUAUCACUACAGCCUUUAUUCUGCAGCAAAAGCUGCAUCAUCAAAUGGUGGCCCUCUAAUAUCAUAGGACAGAGGGUCAGGUGGAACUGCAAUAUGCCACAGAGCAUCCAGGGGUGUGCCCAGGGUGUAGAACCCACAUCCUAGCAGAGUAAGAGAAAAUAUGUCUUAAAACAAAACAAAAACAAAACAAAACAAAACAAAAGGCAUGGCCCAGGCACUGGGCUAGUCUCGGGGGCACAACCAGGAAGAAGACAGACCAAUCAGCCCUUCUGAAAACUGUACACCCAAAGCAGUGGUCCUCAGACGUUGGUGAGCACCACUUAAAUAUGAAGGUAUAUGGGCUCCACCCCUCAGAGGAUGCAGGGCAGGGCCUCAGAAUGUGCAUGUUCAGCAUCUUCCAGUGUGACUGUGAUGCAGAUGGUCAGGUGACCAUGCUUUGAGAAAUACUGGCUUGGGCCCUUCUAUUACUCAAAUUGUGGUCUGGGAGUCCCUGCCCCUGUCAGCAUCCCUGAGAGCUUGUGAGACACACAGAAUCUCAGUCUCUACCCCACCUUGUGAAUCAAAAUGAAUAAACAAGAUUCUCAAGAGGAUUUGUGCGCAUGUUAAAGUUUGGGAAGCAUUGCCAAUGCAAGAUGUGAGGGAGCCUUGCUUUUUACCUUCUGUGUUGUUUUGUUUUUUUUAAGAUUUUAUUUUAUUUUUUAAGGUUUUAUUUAUUUAUUUACUCAUGGAAGACACACACAGAGAGAGAGGCCUGAGAGACACAGGCAGAGGGAGAAGCAGGCUCCCUGCAAAAAGCCCGAUGAGGGACUCCAUCUCGGGUCUCCAGUAUCAUACCCUGGCCCAAGGCAGCGCUAAACUGCUGAGCCGCCCAGGCUGCCUUACCUUCUGUAUUGUUUUGAUAAGAGAAGGAAUGCUUUUGAGAUGCCUGGGUGGCUCAGUUGGUUAAGCGUCUGACUCUUGGUUUUGGCUCAAGUCAUAACCUUGGGAUUGUGAGAUAGAACACCAUGUCAGGCCCCAGGCUGAGCUCCUUCCUCCUCUCCCUCUGCCCCUCCCUCUACUCAUGCACUCUCUUUCUCAAAUAAACUAAAAAAAAAAAAGAAAGAAAAGAAAGAAAAUGCAUUCAUGUAUUACUCAGUAAUUAAAAAUAAAUUAAUGAAAACCUUUGCACAAACCAGAAAAAUCUUGGACAGGAAUAUUCAUAGCAGCUCUAGCCAUGAGUUCCAAACUGGAAACAGCCCAAAUAUCUAACAGGUGAAUGGGUUAACAAAAGGUGGCAUAUUUGCAAAAUGGACUACUACUCAGAACUACAAAGGAACAAUCUGUAGCCUCACUUUCUGCCACAGGCACAGGUUAAUGGAGGUGGUAUUAAGUCAAUUCAGCAGGAGUUUAUGUUGGAAGUGGCUCUAAGGUUUUGGUGGCCCAUGUGAGCAAACCAAAACCCAACCCUUUAAAUACAUUAAGGUUAAGAAAUCGAAACCCAAAGGAUAACCAACCACAGUCACACUAGGGAAAAGCUGUCUCAGAAAGCCAAUCAGGCUUUAGGCUACAGUCCACCAAAUAAUUUCCUUUUUUGUUUCCCCACCUUUUCCUUAUGUCUUCCAGUCUAACCUGUGGGAGGAGCACCCCUAACCACUGUUGGCUUCAUGCUGCCAGACUCAAAUAGGGUUUUACUCAAACUCUUACAGUGUUUAAUAUGCUUCAUUCGUUUU